AACAAUGAGCAUAAAAGUCAGGGUGAGCGGCUUCACUGGGUGGGGAGGAGCUUUAAAGGUGUUGACAGUAUUCUAUUUUCUUAACUGGGAUGGUACUUACAUGAGUGUCUGCUUCAUAGGUAUAUAUGUACUCUAAAGUCACUAUUGUUUGUAUACCUCCCAUUGUAUUGUAUGUAUACCCAAAAACAAGUAAAAAGAAAUAAAGAUGGUAGUAUAUUACUUGAAAUUACAAAGUCAACUUGUAAAGGAACAGAAAAGAACAACUUAACUGUUUGGGGAGGGUAUGGAUGGGGUGUAAGUGAGCUAACCCCCAUCUGUCGUAGCAGAAAAUCAGUAGAUAAUGUCAAAAACCAUAUCUAUUGUAUCUAAAAUCAUAACCGUCCAGAGAAACAGCCCAGAGUUCAAAGUUAUUGCCAUAGCAGAGGGUGCCACAAAGAUGAUGCUCAUUCCGUCCUUCUGUUCAUCCUGUACAGCAGUCCCCCCGCCGUGUCCUUGGGGAACACGUUCCAAGAGCUCCAGUGGAUGCCCAAAGCCACGGAUAAGUGACAAGGCUGAGAACUCCAGACAGUUGGGAGAAGCUGCCCAAGGCUCGAGACGUAGGAAAUUCGGGACCACGGGGUAGUUGGGAUGUGGCCUCAGCAUAAAGGAUCAUCUGGGGCAGAUCCCCGGGCUACUCCAGACCUUUAGAAUCAGAUCUCCAAGAGCCAGGCCUCGGAAUCAGCAUCCCCCAUCUCUGUGCCUUGAGUGAUCCUUUUGAUGUGACAAGUUUGGGAAAGAGUACUGCAUCACUCAGCCAGCACGCGGUGCCUGUCUCCUGGGGGCCCAGGUGUGAGACGGUGCUGGGAGGAGCAAACAAGACAAGGCCUGCAGAGUGCUGAGCACUGAGUCUGAUCCAGAGUUAGGUACCCAGUGAGUACUACCUGUUAUUAUUUUCAGGGCAUGCUCUUUGAUCUCAAGGAGCUCACGGUCAAGAGGGGGAAACAGAAAAAUAAACAGGAGCUUGUAAGAACCAAGACAUGUGCACACACUGCAGAGAGAAGUUGCUUCAAUGAUAUGUUCAUCCAUCAUACAGUUAUGGACUCAAAACAGUACUGCAUGUUGAGUUACAAAGAGGAGGCUGGUUCACAAUCUCAAGUCACCAAUAUACUUAAGAAACCUUAAAGUUUAAUUUGUUAUCCAAUGAGCACCCAGUUUCUAGGAUUCCAGGUAAAUAAUAAAAGCAAACACUUCUGUGGCACAGACUGGGCCCUUCACACACAGGAAGCGAUGGGGAGGUGAGUGUUGUGAUUUUGCCCAGUCUGACAGGCAAGGAGAUAGGGGUGCACACAGGUUAUAGCUUGUCCAUGGUCACACCAUGGCUGUCUGGCUCCUACAUUCAUGCUCUUAACCCCUGCAGGGUCAUGGUCUCUUGUGGGAGAUGAAGAUUUCUGUACUCAAAGAUACCACAACGAAGUAUGCAGACAAUGGUGUUCACUACCACAUCAUUUACCACAAAAACGGUUUGGGAACAAUCUAAAGGCCCAACAAUCGGGGAGUGAUUCAGUAUCUGAUUUCUUUUUAAGUUUUAUUUAUUUAUUUUUAGAGACAGAGAGAGCAGGGGAGGGGCAGAGAGAGAGAGGGAGAGACAGAGAAUCCUAAGCAGGCUCCCUACUGUCAGUGCAGAUGCAAGGCUCGAUCGUACCAUGAGAUCAUGACCUGAGCUGAAAUCAAGAGGUGUGUGCUCUGGGAAUGCAAGCUGGUGCAGCCACUCUGGAAAACAGUAUGGAGGUUCCUCAAAAAACUAAAAAUAGAACUACCCUACGACCCAGCAAUUGCACUACUAGGCAUUUAUCCACGGGAUACAGGUGUGCUGUUUCCAAGGGACACAUGCACCCCCAUGUUUAUAGCAGCACUAUCAACAAUAGCCAAAGUAUGGAAAGAGCCCAAAUGUCCACUGAUGGAUGAAUGGAUAAAGAAGAUGUGGUAUAUAUAUACAACGGAGUAUUACUCGACAAUCAAAAAGAAUGAAAUCUUGCCAUUUGCAACUACGUGGAUGGAACUGGAGGGAAUUAUGCUAAGUGAAAUUAGUCAGAGAAAGACAAAAAUCAUAUGAUUUCACUCAUAUGAGGACUUUACGAGACAAAACAGAUGAACAUAAGGGAAGGGAAACAAAAAUAAUAUAAAAACAGGGAGGGGGACAAAACAGAAGAGACUCAUAAAUAUGGAGAACGAACUGAGGGUUAUGGGAGGGGGGUGUGGGCUAAGUGGGUAAGGGUCACUAAGGAAUCUACUCCUGAAAUCACUGUUGCACUAUAUGCUAACUAAUUUGGAUGUAAAUUUUAAAAAAUAAAAAAAAAUAAAAAAUAAAUAAAAAAUAAAAAACUGAGCCACCCAGGCUCCCUGGUAUCUGAUAAUUUAUAAACUUGGUAAAACAUACAAAACCAUUAAAAAUGUGAUGCUUUUGCAAUGUUUGAAGGAACAGGUAGAAACCUCAAGGGGAAGAUACAGUGGGGCACAUUUGCUAUAAAUUUUGAUGAGGCAAAUUUGAAAUUGCUCAAUACCAAAAGCUAACAAUGUCUCCAAGGGGAACACUAAAGCUCUGUCUGUUGGUGCUGGAAGUCGACCACGAUGUUUGUAAAGGUAAGGUGGAAACCAGGUUCUUUCAUUCACCAUCUCUGCCCCUUUUUUCCCUCCUAUCUUUCUGUAAAAAAGUAUUUUGGAAGAACAAAUGACUCUUGUUUCACAUCUAUUCCUGAUUGAGGCCUUCCACAGUACAUCCUUAAAUGUGACUGCCUUUUACAAAAUCCAAUCAUGUCCAUUACCGCAACUAAGUUAUGGCCCAGCAUCUUGACUAUGUUUAAAAACAAAAAAACAACUACACGUAAAAUGAUUAAGAGGAAAUGGGUGAAUUUUUGUUUUCCCAAAUGUCUACAAUACACAUGUAUUGCUAUCCAAUUGGGAAAAACUUUCUUUCUAGAAGAAUUAUAAGAAAAUAUACCAGACAGGGGCGCCCGGGUGGCUCAGUCAGUUAGGCUUCUGACUUCAGCUCAGGUCAUGAUUUCAUGGUUUGUGAGUUCGAGCCUUGCGUCGGGCUCUGUGCUAACAGCUCAGAGCCUGGAGCCUGCUUUGGAUUCUGUGUCUCCCUCUCUGUUUGCCCCUAUCCUGCUCGCACUCUGUCUCUCUCUCUCUCAAAAAUAAAUAAACAUUGAAAAAAAAAAAACAGACAGAAGAAUAAGAAGGACUAUCAAGAGAAUGAAUGCCUAUAUAAUAUUAGUGCAAUCAGAGCUAAAAGAUUGGGAAAGGUAGGAAGGAAAAAAUUGGGGUCAAAUGGCCAACAGGAAGUUAGCUGCAGGAGUCCGGGAGGUGCAACCCUCCCCAGUAUGGCUAGACCCAGCACUGGGAGACGCUGAGAGAUCCACCUGAAGGUGAAGUUGCCCUCAUAGAGGUGACCAUUCCAAAAAUAUUAAUGAAAUGGGCACUAGGAAGUUUCUGACUGGAGAAAUGCUAGAAAAAUAAUGCUUCCCCUUCAGUUUGCUUGAAUGUAGAAGAGUAGACUUUGAAGUCAAGCAGACCCAGUCUUCAAAUCCUGGCUCUGCCAUUUAAGAGCUGGGUGACCUCCACCUCCAGCCUAAUUUGCUCAUUUGAACUGCAAGUAUAAUCAUCUCAACCUCACAAAGUCCUUAUUAAUGUACGGGCACCUGGCCGGCUCAGUCAGUGUGACUCUUGAUCUCAGGGUUAUGAGUUCAAGCCCCACAUUGGGUAUAGAGAUUACUUAAAAAUAAAAUAUUUUUUAAAAAUUAAAAAAAUAAAGGAUAUAAUGUAUUUAAAGUGCCGGGUGCAAGGAUUGACACGUAUGUAGUGGAUACUCAACUAAUGUGACUUAUUUUCCCCUACGUGGACUGUAGAAAUAUAAGCUAAAAUGCUGCUAGAGAGUUCACUUAGCAUUUAAAAAAAUUCAUAAGGGGCUCCUGGGUGGCUCAGUCAGUUGAGUGUCCAACUUCGGCUCAGGUCAUGAUCUCGCAGUUUGUGAGUUCGAGCCCCUCGUCGGGCUCUGUGCUGACAGCUCAGAGCCUGGAGCCUGCUUCGGAUUCUGUCUCCCUCUCUCUCUGCCCCUCCCCCACUUGUGCUCUGUCUCUCUGUGUCUAUCAAAAAUAAAUAAAAUGUAAAAAAAAUUUUUUUUUAAAUUCAUACCAUCUCACUCAUCUGCAAGGUAUUUCUCUUGCAAGCUCACUAUCAAAGAGAGUUAAGAACUUGAAAGUAAGCAGAAGCCAGUGUAGAUGUUCAGAAACUCUGUUGUUUCAGUCAUAGGAGAGCCUCUGCAACCUCUCUCAGAACAAUGUGUGCUCGUUCAUUCUUUAAGCCUCAUUCUGGCAAAUUGAGCUAUCAGAUAUCCCAAGAGUAUAACUGAGUUUAGGAACACAGUGGUGUGUCCCAAUGGCUGAUAAUUACAUUAAAAAGUGUGCAACAUCAUUAGUCAUCACGGAAAUUAAAGGCAUGAUGAGAGAGCUAAUGCACAGUCACCAGCAUGGUUAAAAUGAAAGAGAUUCACCAUACCAAGUGUUAGCAAGGAUGCAAGGAAGUGGAACACUCCUGUUUCAUGAGUGUGAAUGGGAAAAUGGUGCAACCACUUUAGAAAAUGAUUUGGCAGUAUCCUCUAAAAUUAAAUAUUAUAUAUACUCCCGGACCCAUCAACUCCACUCCUGGACAGUCUGCCAACUGAAGUGAAUAUUUAAAGCCAGAAAACACAUACAGGGAUGUUCAUAAAAGCGGCAUUUUUCAUAAUAGCCCAAAACUGGACACAACCCAAGUGUUCAUCAGUAAAGCAAAUGGAUAUAGAAAUUGUAAUCAUAUUCAUAUGAAAGAAUACUACGCAUCAGUGAAAAAACAAACCACUAUUACCCUCAACAAUCUGGCUGAAUCUUCCAGACAUAAUGGUCAGCAAAAGAAGCCAGGCACAAAGAAGUUCAUACUGUGUUUUCCAUUUAUACAAAGUUUGAGAAUAAGCAAAACUAUUUUAUGGUUUUAGGAGUCAAAAUAGAGUUUGCCUUGGGAUUUGGGGCUACUGACUGGUUGCGGGCAUGAAAGAGCCUGCAGAGGUGCUCAGGCAUGUUCUUAACUUGAUCUGGGUAGUGGUUAUGUGGGACAUACAUAUGUCAAAGUUUGGUUAGGACCAAGGGUGCCGGGGUGGCUCAGUUGGUUAAGCGUCUGACUUUGGCUCAGGUCAUGAUUUCAAUACUUGUGAGUUCAAGCUCUGUGUCGGGCUCUGUGCUGACAACUCAGAGCCUGGAGCCUGCUUCAGAUUCUGUGUCUCCGCUCUCUAUGCCCCGCCCCUCCCAUGCUUGUGGUCUCUCUCAAAAAUAAAUAAACAUUAAAAAAAAUUUAAAGAAUUGCACUUAGGACCAGUGUAUCCUACUGCAUGUAAGUUUCACCUCAACAACAAAUAAAAUAAAAUAAAAUAAAAUAAAAUAAAAUUAAAUUAAAUUAAAUUAAAUUAAAUUAAAAUAAAA